rnacentral:lncRNA from 1 species
UUUUUUUUUUUUUUUUCAGUGAUAUAGUAGGAAAACAUAAUAUGUCAAGCUUUUUCUUUUUCAGACAUUGUUUUCCACUCAGACUACCAGAGGUUGAAUUAACAUCCCUAUGAACAAGCUUUUUAAAACAUUUCCUCUUUCCUACCUACCUUGCAAAUCUUAAUUAAUGCCAUUUGCUUCAAAAUAUGCCCAGUCCACUUCCAGGUUGCCAAGGCAGAGUCAGGGUUCACGUUGCCAUAUGCUGCCAGGGACAGGGACAACACUUCCCAGCCCAAGAGGUAUCCUCCUUGGACCCUGGGCAUUUGAUGAAGCCUGCUUUCCCCAUUUGCUCUGCAAAUCCACUUCAUCUGCACCAUCUCCUCUUGGAACGAGGUUUCUUUGGAACAGAAAACUGGGAAAAUAAUCCUGGAUACCUGAUUUCCUCCACUUUUGUCUCAAAGAUAGCAGCUAUUUGAGGUAAUGCAUGUAUGAGCAUACUACUGCAUGUAUAAGAGAGUUUUCUGGUUAAUCCUCUCCAGACUCCUUCAUAGGAUGUGUUGUUAAUUAUGUCUGUGACACCGAUGCAGAAAUAAACCAGAGAACAAGUCCUGCAGUGUGAGAGAAUCAAGAAAAUUGGGGAAUUCCCUUCGUGGUGCAGUGGUUAACGAAUCCGACUAGGAACCAUGAGGUUGUGGGUUUGAUCCCUGCCCUUGCUCAGUGGGUUAACGAUCCGGCGUUGCCGUGAGCUGUGGUGUAGGUCGCAGGCACUGCUCGGAUCCCGAGUUGCUGUGGCUCUGGUGUAGGCUGGCGGCUACAGCUCCGAUUCGACCCCUAGCCUGGGAACCUCCAUAUGCCGUGGGAGCGGCCCAAGAAAAGGCAAAAAGACAAAAAUAAUAAUAAUAAUAAAAAUAAAAAAUAAAAUUUAUUAAAAAAAAAGAAAAUUGGGAAAAAAAAUCCCCGAUAUUUAGGUCUGAGCCACUCAUUAAGUCAUUCUCUUGCCUUGCUUUACUGCUUAGGUGACAACAAUAGAAUACUUUGCAUCCUUCUACUUUGAGCCGCAUUUGCCAAAAAUGCCUUGGAUUUAUGGUCCUCUCAUGUUUGUCCACAGGGAAUGUUGUUCCUUUCUCCCUUUUGUUUUAGAGAGGUGCUCUAGCCACAUGUGCAGCAUAAGAACAUUCAAAGAACGUUGCUCUUUGGAGUUAGAAAUGAAGGUAAUAAAGCCUGGUGGACAUGGGGUGCACCACCCAGAGCCCCCAUUUAAGAUCAAAGCUGCUGAGACAUUGGCUGCUGAAGGCUCUCAGUCAAAUUCCUCUCCAGGAAUUGUUAUCUGCUAAAAGGGAGCUGCUUUGCCCAAAGGUACACUCCCUUCCGGGGUCAGCCUGCAUCCAAGGACUAGUCAGUGUGAGUUCAAGGGGAGCAACGUUGCAGGAUCAUCCAGCACCAGAGCCCUGUGGGAUCUGUCAAGACUUUUGUGGGGAAACAAGAGCAACUCAGCUUCUACCCAUUCCUGUUGCCUUCUCUCCCCUUCAGCUGUGACUCCAAGAGCAUCCUCCAGCAAACCUCCUGGAAGAAAUCUUCAUCUCAGAGCAUAUUUUCUGCGGAGCCUGACCUAUAAUACUCAGGCUGAAACUAUUAGAAAGCAUGGUUGGCAGUUUAGAGUGAGAGUCUUAAGUCCCAUAUCUAUUUUUUUUCCCCUAAGAAUCUGACACUCCUUGGUUAAAAUAGUUGAAGAACUUUGGGAUAUCAGUUGCAAAAAAGAUAUGAAAAUGUAUGAAAAUGAUUUUAAUAAAUGAGGAAUGCAUUUAAGAAAAUUCUUAGAACAAAAGCACCAAAUAUCACUUUAAAAAUCAGACUUGUGGAAAACAUGAAAUUUUACCAGGGAGAAUAUUAGUAUCAGAAAUUCUGGGAGUUCCUGUUGUGGCAUAGUGGUCUACAAACCCAACUAGUACCCAUGAGGAUGCAGGUUCCUUCCCUGGCCUCAUUCAGUGGGUUAAGGAUCCAGUGUUGCUGUGAGUUGUGGUGUGGAUCCCAUGUUGCUGUAGCUGUGUGCAGGCCAAGAGCUGUAGCUCUGAUUCAUCCCCUAGCUUAGGAACUUCCACGUGCCUCAGGUGUGGCUCUAAAAAGC